rnacentral:rRNA from 1 species
GACAUAGGUGGCGAACGUUAUCCGGAAUUAUUGGGCGUAAAGGAUGCGUAGAUGGUAGAAUAAGUUGCUGGUCGAUGCCAAACUCAAUUUGACGGAAGCUAGCAAUACUGUUCUGCUAGAGGGCAGGAGAGGUUGAUGGAAUUCUGUGUGGAGCGGUGAAAUGCGUUGAUCUACAGAGGAACACCAAAAAGGCGAAAGGCAGUCAACUUAUUCUGUUCCUGACAUUGAGG